GAGGAGAGAAACUAUCUGCUAAUCCCUCCCACACCCUUUCAGUUUCUGGGUGGCAGGUUGCAUAAACAGUGCACUGAACAACCAGCAAACAAAAAUUGGUGCCUCCGAUCAAGAGAGAUCGGUAAAUCACUUCAGUUUUAUGCUGGGAAAAAGAACGCAAAUUCUCCUGAUCCAACAGUUUGGAGAGGGAGCACGAUUCCCGAGCUGUGGUCAGCUUCUGCGGAAAGGCUUCAAUCUUUCACUGAACUUGCUGGGUGUGGCCUUGUAGAUCAGUGUUUAAGAAGCCAACCAGAAAAGCUGGGGAUUUACUGUCAAAAUCAGCUGCUGAGCAAGUUGCUGAAUACAACAGGGACAGAAUGGCAGAGGACCCCAAGAUCGAGCUGUUCAUUAAGGCCAGUGACGAUGGUGAGUCCAUUGGGAAUUGUCCAUUCUCCCAACGCUUGUUCAUGAUCCUGUGGUUAAAGAAAGUUGCUUUCACCAUUAACACAGUGGAUAUGAAGAGGAAUCCAGACAUGCUCAAGGAUAUUGCACCAGGGAGUCAGCUGCCUGUCCUCAUUUACAACGGUGAUCUUAAGACAGAUAACAACAAAAUAGAAGAAUUUCUGGAGGAGGUUCUCGCCCCUCCCAAAUAUCCUAGACUGAGUGCCAGAUACAAAGAAUCCAUGACUGCAGGCUACAGUGUCUUCCAGAAAUUCUCAGCUUACGUUAAGAAUCCACUUCCUGAAAAGAAUCAAGCUUGCGAGACAGCGUUUCUGAAAGCGUUAGUGGAGCUGGAUCAAUAUCUGAACACCCCACUGCCACAUGAAGAUGGGAGUUACCCGUCAAAGAGGUUAUUCCUGGAUGGAAAUGAGCUGACAUUGGCUGACUGCAAUCUCCUACCCAAACUCCACGUGGUUCAGGUUGUGUGCAAGCAUUAUCGGAAUUUUACAAUCCCGAAGGAGCUUUCAGGCCUGUGCAGAUACCUGAACCAUGCGGAGAAAUGUGAGGAAUUCAUGAAUACCUGCCCGAAUGAAGAGGAGAUCAAGUUAGCAUAUCGAAAUGUUGCUAAAUAUUCAGAUAGAUGUGGAGCAAAAUCGGUAACAGGGAGAUGAUGUCUCCCAGUUGGAGAUUUAAACUAUCAACCUUUGACCGAAUGCAACAUUCUUAUGUACAUCUCCAACUUCUACUGCUGGAUUUUGUGUUUAUUUGAACUUUCCAUUCCUGAUAGGGAAUUGAGAUUCACUGCAAAACUACAUUCAUGAAACCUGCUACAGUGGCCCAGUUCCUCUAGGUCUCUUCUAAUUGACAUCUCAGAAAUGAGGGGUUUGUGCAACAGGGUUAAUGUUUGUAUGUUAUAAUACAAUUCCCUCAAAGUCUCAACUUUGCCUAAUAAUGAUUUUACACAGUUUAUAGCAAGUCAUUCUUUCGAUCAAUAGUGCACUUUUAAGGUGAGGAUUCCAUUCAUCUGACAUUAACUCUGCAUAAAGACCUCCUCACAAAACGCUACUGAAUUCUCCAUCCUUGAACUAUUGCCAAUGCAUCUGAAAAAAAAUGUUUAAAUUGAAGCUACAAAAAAUGAAUGACAAGAAGGACGCUGCAUGAGUUGUAUUCUGUGGCAAGUCCUUUAACGUGAGAAAAUGUCGCAUUGCAGCCACGACAGUCGAUCAGCUGAUUCUUCUAUUCUUACAAACACGUGGUCAAUAGGUCCUGGAAUGGGGCUUGAACCCAGAGAAUCUGGCUCAGAAGCAGAAAUACCACCCACUGUGCCAUAAGAACUACAGUUAAAUAAAUUCAAUGCUCAUGAAAUGAUUAGUGGUGUAGCUGCAUUGCUUGUAUAUCUUAAAUAAAACCCUGUAUGAACUCCA